UGUGUGAGUGUGUGUGUGUGUGUGUGUGUGUGUGUGUUCAUCCCCUGCCUCAUGCCCGGUCACUCACACCC
rnacentral:miRNA from 1 species